rnacentral:rRNA from 1 species
AGCAGCCGCGGUAAUUCCAGCUCCAAUAGCGUAUAUUAAAGUUGUUGCAGUUAAAAAGCUCGUAGUUGAAUUUCGAGAUUGGUUUAUUGGUCGUGCUUUUGUACGUACUGGUAUUAUCGGUUUCUCCUUUCUGACGAAUCAUAAUGCCAUUAAUUUGGUGUUUUGGGGAAUCAGGACUGUUACUUUGAAAAAAUUAGAGUGUUUAAAGCAGGCUCACGCUUGAAUACAUUAGCAUGGAAUAACGGAAUAGGACGUUUGAUUCUAUUUUGUUGGUUUCUAGGAUCGACGUAAUGAUUAAUAGGGAUAGUUGGGGGCAUUAGUAUUCAAUUGUCAGAGGUGAAAUUCUUGGAUUUAUUGAAGACUAACUACUGCGAAAGCAUUUGCCAAGGAUGUUUUCAUUAGUCAAGAACGAAAGUUAGGGGAUCGAAGACGAUCAGAUACCGUCGUAGUCUUAACUAUAAACUAUGCCGACUAGGGAUCGGAUGAUGUUAAUUUUAAUGACUCAUUCGGCGCCUUACGG